CGCGUUCUCGCAGCAUCUCGCGGCGGCGUGCUUCCGUUUACGGAGGGGAAGGAAGCUCUCGUGGCCUCUCGCCCGGGCGCACCGCCUGACGCACGGCUUUUCCCUCCUCGUCUUCGUCUGCGCUUCGCAGCUGCUGCACUGACGGUGCGAAUAUUUCUCUGUGAGUUUGCUUUUUAUCGGCUACCAUUUGCUGAGAGAGUGAACCCUUGCCAAGGGCAGAGCUUGUUCUGGGGCGUGUCAGCAAGGCGCCUCGCGACGAGCUUGCGAAGUGGGCGUUGUUCACCGGCUACUUUCCGUCAACGAGUUCAACGCAGCCUGGCGUUCUACAAUUUGUCUACCUUGUCACCGGCACCGUUAUCGACUCUUGUUUUCGAUGCCUUUGGUAGCCUGUACGUGGUAAGUUGAAAGUUGUGACGAUUCAUCGGCUCAUUUCUACGGCGCCGAAGCAGACGACGCGCGGACUUCGUCGAGUUCGUUCACCUCGGUGGUGGUUAUUGCUGCUCUUGUCGGUUUUCUUCUACGCCCUGAAUUCAAGACGUAACUUAGUAGCAAAAGGGAGCUCUCAGCGCGUGCUCAGUUAGCGGACGACGUCAGCUGCCUUGUGCUAUCACCCACAAGUGAAAGUGUGUUCGCGUGUGCGGCAAGCAAAGGCCAAGUUUGUUUAGCAGACCAAGUUUGAGCAGACGACAAUUUUCCUGCGCGUCAAACAAGGUUCUGUGCUGCAGAUACAGAGGUGCGUAGAAGGUGUGUGAAUUGUCUUCUGUGUUGCGACAUUUAAGAUUUGAAAACAACAACCCUGUGGGGCGUGAUCUGCCGUUAUUGCGGUGAUUUGCAUUCGUAGGUUUGAGGUUUGAUUGUGGCAGAGUGUGAAAGAGUUCAAGUGGUGCAAGGCUAUAUUGCUGCUAGAGGAGCAUCGUUGACUUUGCCGGCUUUCGCACGAGGAAACAUCUGAGCUUCGCAUUGUGAAUUUUUUUUUAAGUGUCAUCAAGAACAACUACACUUUUGCGUGUUCCUUCCUGAAUGGUGCUUCGAAAGGUCGGCGGAAUUGUCGGCGUUCUUCUUUGGCGGUGCUGUGCUUGUUAAAGUGGACUACGAGUGCUUCGUGAUUUCUUCAACUUCCCAAGCCACCCAUUGACAGCCAGAGCGAUCGCAUCUAAAACAGGCCAGUCGCAUCCAAAGUCGCCGGCGUCACAGCUAACCGUCCAGACCUACAUUGCCUUCACUCAUGUUGAAUAGAUACGUAAUGACGUUCUGCCGCACAGCAAUGACUGCAGGAACCUUAUAGGAACUUAACCCUCAACCAACUGGACGAAGAUUCAGAGUCACAAACCACUCGGUAAGAAGCGACUUCGGUUUAAUGAUGGGAUUGAGACACCAAGCCAGAAAGAAAAUAAUGCCUUAGAAGACCUCACCAAGCCGAAGAAAGUUGAAAUAAAAACAGCAUUAAAGCUGUCCAGGAUCUCCUACCAGGAAGAAUUCUUCGUAUA